rnacentral:lncRNA from 1 species
UCCCGCAGACAUCAUUUCUACUACAGCGGCGGAGCAGCCCGCAGCGUGUACCCGCGGGGGAAGGAGCCCACAUACACACACACACAUAUUUACACACACACACAUUUACACACACACACACACAGACCCCCGCCCCGGGAGGACGGCGGUGCGCGAGUCUCGGUCCGACCCCCCCGCCAGCCCCACCUCCACUGACACUUUACAUCACGCCGCAGGCCGAGCCAGACGGGCGAGCAAUACAAGCUGUGAAUUUAUUGUUGACCCCUGCAGGACAGUGACCACCUUCGCCGUCAUCUUCGCCGUACAGAGAUGCGCUGUCAGUAAGAUCCUGGAGCCCAGGAAAGAGUUUUAA